GAUGGACCAAACCACUUUCCAAAAUUUCAAUUGUAACUAGAGCAACACAACCAUAUUAAGUAUAAAUUAUUGGUUAAUUAAGUAUCCUCGUCAUGAAAGCAUGGUAGAAGAUAAUAUGGGAAAUCUAUAUGAUGUUAGUUUAAAUAUUAUAUCUGAUUCAUUGACGACGUAAAUUCCUCUUCUCUAUUAUAUAAUCACGGAUCUUUGAGAGUCAUUAAACGAUUAAAUGUUAAUAUGAUAAUC